UUGUGUUUCAUUGCAGUAUUUCCUGAAAACUCCUCAGGUGUGGCACUCUGAAUCUGCACGCUGUGGUAUUCUUGAGCAACUCCAUCCUGUAGAGUAUGGAAUUAUAAAGUCAGAAGUAGAAUCCUGUAUGUGGAAGUAAUGUAAGGACUGGAGGGGGAGCUUUUCUUCACACCUUGCUGGGUAUGAAACUUGAACUACACUCGAGAAGGGCAGAAAUGUAGC